UGGGGAAUAUUGCACAAUGGGCGCAAGCCUGAUGCAGCCAUGCCGCGUGUGUGAAGAAGGCCUUCGGGUUGUAAAGCACUUUCAGCGAGGAGGAAGGUGGUGAGCUUAAUACGCUCAUCAAUUGACGUUACUCGCAGAAGAAGCACCGGCUAACUCCGUGCCAGCAGCCGCGGUAAUACGGAGGGUGCAAGCGUUAAUCGGAAUUACUGGGCGUAAAGCGCACGCAGGCGGUUUGUUAAGUCAGAUGUGAAAUCCCCGGGCUCAACCUGGGAACUGCAUUUGAAACUGGCAAGCUAGAGUCUCGUAGAGGGGGGUAGAAUUCCAGGUGUAGCGGUGAAAUGCGUAGAGAUCUGGAGGAAUACCGGUGGCGAAGGCGGCCCCCUGGACGAAGACUGACGCUCAGGUGCGAAAGCGUGGGGCAGCAAACAGGAUUAGAUACCCUGGUAGUCCACGCUGAUAAACGAUGUCUGAUUUGGAGGUUGUCGCCCUUGAGGGCGUGGCUUCCGGAGUAACNCGUUAAAUCGACCGCCU
rnacentral:rRNA from 1 species